rnacentral:rRNA from 1 species
GAUGAACGCUGGCGGCGUGCCUAAUACAUGCAAGUCGAGCGAACGGACGAGAAGCUUGCUUCUCUGAUGUUAGCGGCGGACGGGUGAGUAACACGUGGAUAACCUACCUAUAAGACUGGGAUAACUUCGGGAAACCGGAGCUAAUACCGGAUAAUAUUUUGAACCGCAUGGUUCAAAAGUGAAAUACGGUCUUGCUGUCACUUAUAGAUGGAUCCGCGCUGCAUUAGCUAGUUGGUAAGGUAACGGCUUACCAAGGCAACGAUGCAUAGCCGACCUGAGAGGUGGAUCGGCCACGCUGGAAGUGAGAAACGGUCCAGAAUCCUACGGGAGGCAGCGGUGGGGAAGCUUCCGCAAUGGGCGAAAGCCUGACGGAGCAACGCCGCGUGAGUGAUGAAGGUCUUCGGAUCGUAAAACUCUGUUAUGAGGGAAGAACAUAUGUGUAAGUAACUGUGCACAUCUUGACGGUACCAAAUCAGAAAGCCACGGCUAACUACGU